CCUACGGGUGGCAGCAGUGGGGGAUAUUGCACAAUGGGGGAAACCCUGAUGCUGCGACGCCGCGUGGGCGAAGAAGUAUUUCCGUAUGGAAAGCCCUAUCAGCAGGGAAGAAGAAUUGACGGUACCUGCGUCAGAAGCACCGGCUAACUACGUGCCAGCAGCCGCGGUCAUACGUAUGGUGCAAGCGUUCUCCGGAUUUACUGGGGGUAAAGGGAGCGCAGGCGGCACGGCAAGCCUGAUGUGAAAGCCCGCGGCCCAACCGCGGGACUGCAUUGGGAACUACCGGGCUGGAGUGCCGGAGAGGUAGGCGGAAUUCCUAGUGUAGCGGUGAAAUGCGUAGAUAUUAGGAGGAACACCAGUGGCGAAGGCGGCCUACUGGACGGUGACUGACGCUGAGGCUCGAAAGCGUGGGGAGCAAACAGGAUUAGAUACCCCGGUAGUC
rnacentral:rRNA from 1 species